rnacentral:rRNA from 1 species
ACGAUAACCUCGGGAAACUUGAGGCUACCUCUUUCUACGGGAGUCAUGCUGGAAUGCCGACUCCCCGAAACGCUCAGGCGCUGUAGGAUGUGGCUGCGGCCCGAUUAGGUAGACGGUGGGGUAACGGCCCACCGUGCCGAUAAUCGGCAACGGGUUGUGAGAGCAAGAGCCCGGAGACGGAAUCUGAGACAAGAUUCCGGGCCCUACGGGGCGCAGCAGGAGCGAAACCUUUACACUGCACGCAAGUGCGAUAAGGGCACCCCAAGUGCGAGGGCAUAUAGUCCUCGCUUUUCUCGACUGUAAGGCGGUCGAGGAAUAAGAGCUGGGCAAGACCGGUGCCAGCCGCCGCGGUAAUACCGGCAGCUCAAGUGAUGACCGAUAUUAUUGGGCCUAAAGCGUCCGUAGCCGGCCACGAAGGUUCAUCGGGAAAUCCGCCAGCUCAACUGGCGGGCGUCCGGAGAAAACCACGUGGCUUGGGACCGGAAGGCUCGAGGGGUACGUCCGGGGUAGGAGUGAAAUCCCGUAAUCCUGGACGGACCACCGAUGGCGAAAGCACCUCGAGAAGACGGAUCCGACGGUGAGGGACGAAAGCUAGGGUCUCGAACCGGAUUAGAUAAACCGGGUAGCCCUAGCUGUAAACGAUGCUCGCUAGGUGUGACAAAGGCUACGAGCCUGUGCUGUGCCGUAGGGAAGCCGAGAAGCCAGCCGCCUGGGAAGUACGUCCGCAAGGAUGAAACUUAAAGGAAAUGGG